GCAUUAAUUAAGCAUGCGAAAGGCUGACUUUUUAGAACAAAAUGAAUAGUUAAAGGACUUAAACUAAACCAAAUUGUAUGAAAUUUUGUACAGUAAUUAAAAACCCGACCAAUUUUCAAUCUAUUAACUCAAAAUAUGAUUACAGCUUUUGAAUUUUGUGCGCGAGCCAUUUUUAGUUUGUUGGAAAGGGCACCCCCCCCCCCCCUGGUUCACAAAAUUUGAGUUCGAGAAAUUUUUUUCAUUAUUUUACAUUUUAAGUACCCAAAGAACCUAUAUAUAUAAAAAACCAGCUACAAAUAGGUGUUUUGCGAAAUUGAGAGCAAUUUCAAAUCUGUUCAGUUUUUUUUUAUACACCCUGUAUAGUAUA